ACAUUUUUUUGAAUCUCAUUAGAUUUACCACACACAUUUUUUUUUUUUUUGUAAGUCCGAUCACUGUUCGUUAUUCUGGGAGAAUUUUCACCAGUAUUAUAAAAGGGACUGCUACAAAAAUGUCCAAAACAACAAAUAGAAAACAGGUAGAGAUCUUAAUAAGCCUAAUGAAGCUAAGCCGGACAUUGCUCGCGGCUUCCAAAGGGCAACAGAAAGGAAGUUUCCCGGUUUUGGCGGAACCCUGAGGUGGACCAAACUCCGCAGACCCACCCAAAAAAAAAAAAUACGACGAGUGGAAAAAGGUGUGGACCGACAAAAAAAAUUAUGUGCGCUCAAAAGGCGGCGCAAAAUUUAAAAGCAGCAAAGGCACGGGUGGUGGCCCAAACACCCAACAGAAACUUUCUUCCAAUGAGGAAACUAUAUAUAAACUGAUUGGGAUGAUGGAAAGUGUUGAAGGCAUAGCUGCGUCUACUUUUGGAAAUAGAGAUACAUGAAUCUCAAAUAAGUCCACUUGUCACGGUCGGUGAGCCAUCGCUUCCACCACCACGCAGUAAAUGUAGUUUCAGAAAGGAGACCUACUGUUAAAGAAGCCGAAAGCAUCCUCCGACCUUCUGGAAGCUGAACUAAAGACUCAGCAAGCCUUACUAGAAGCAGUUACUGGAGCAGUUACGACGUUAACCGAACAUCACGAAGAUAAAACUAAAAGUAAAAUUUUUACUAGCAGAAACUAGCAGCUGUCAAAAUGGAUAA